rnacentral:rRNA from 1 species
AGCUCCAAUAGCGUAUAUUAAAGUUGUUGCAGUUAAAAAGCUCGUAGUUGUAUUUCUGCAUAAAGCGACAGGUCCGCUUUCCAAAAGUGUGUACCUUGUACGGUUUCUGCAUCUUUCUGGGGAACUUUGGUUUCACUUUAUUGUGUCAUCAUGUAAUCCAGAACUUUUACUUUGAGAAAAUUAGAGUGUUUCAAGCAGGCAUUUCGCCUUGAAUACUACAGCAUGGAAUAAUAAUAUAGGACUUCGGUACUAUUUUGUUGGUUUCUAGAACUGAAGUAAUGAUUAAUAGGGACAGUUGGGGGCAUUCAAAUUUGACGGUUAGAGGUGAAAUUCUUAAAUUCCUCAAAGUUGAACUACUGCGAAAGCAUUUGCCAAGGAUGCUCUCAUUAAUCAAGAACGA